CGCAUCUGUGCAUGCAGCAUAUCAAUAAGCGGAGGAAAAGAAACUAACGAGGAUUCCCCUAGUAACGGCGAGUGAAGCGGGAAGAGCUCAAAUUUGAAAUCUUAAAGGGUUUCCCUUUACGAAUUGUAGUUUAAAGAAGUGUUUUCUGUUGAGGUUUUGGUAAAAGUUCUUUGGAAUAGGGACAUCAUAGAGGGUGAGAAUCCCGUAUUUGACCUUUACUUUCAACUUUGUGAUACACUUUCAAAGAGUCGGAUUGUUUGGGAAUGCAGUCCAAAAUGGGUGGUAAAUUUCAUCUAAAGCUAAAUAUUGGCGAGAGACCGAUAGCGAACAAGUACCGUGAGGGAAAGAUGAAAAGAACUUUGAAAAGAGAGUUAAACAGUACGUGAAAUUGUCAAAAGGGAAGCGUUUGACACCAGUGUUGUUUUUCUGAAAAUCAAUUAAAGAACUGUUUAUGCUAAGCUGUUUAGACUUUAUCAGCUAACUGUUUAGUUUUGAGCUUUUCUUUAAUGCACUUCUCAGUUAACAAGUCAACAUCAAUUUCUUUUGCUGUAAAAAAGGCUUGAGGAAGGUGGCUUGAGAUUCGUCUUAAGCGUUUAUAGCCUCUUGCCUAUGCAGUCGGAGAGAUUGAGGUCUGCAGCGUAGAUCCUUCGGGGCUAAAUGCAUUUGUGCUAAGUUAUAGCAUUUUAUAGACAACUUGUUGACUAUGAUUUGUCUUGUAGCUUACUCGCUUAUGUUAUUUUACCUACGCUUAGGAUGUUGACAGCAGUAUAGACUGU
rnacentral:rRNA from 1 species